rnacentral:lncRNA from 1 species
CUAUGAUGACCACAAAUCUUGUCAAAUAUGUUUGUGAAGGAAGAUGGUAUUUAUUGGAAUAUAUUUGUUACAGAAUAUUGAGUUGCUCACUCGGGUUGUAUAAGAACUCACUCCUGUGGUGCCAUUACCUGAAGAAGAGAACACAGGAGGAGGAGGAGGUCUGGGGAAGGAGGAGUGGUUAAGCUCCAAUUUCGCAACUUCAGCAAGAGACCAUCUGCAGAAGUGGGCUGUCCACCGUCUCUGUUUCGCUGGCGUACGGUUCGCCUGUGCAAGGAAGUUCAUUUAAGCCAUUUAUUGGAAGAGGAAUGUCUGGUUUAGUCCAUGGCGACUGCCAGAGGUCACCGUGAACAACCAGCUGGCAUUCUGAAGACAGCUCUGUGCAGAUGCAGAAGGCAUGCUCGUGUGGCUGGGCUCAGCGAUGGAUGAGGAGUCACUUACGAUCAAGACUCUUCGAGCCUCAGAGAGAAGCAUCAGAGUUGUCUGCGGAGUUAUCGGUUCUGGCCCUGAAUCCCCUUGGCACUUCUCAGCCCUCAGUGGAGAGAUCCUGCAAAUGGAGUUCUAUCAGACAUUCACUGCCUGGCAUCGUCUCCAACCACUGUCACCACCCAAAUGUCUCUGCCUUGCCUUCAAAUGUCAACCAAGUCUGUUGGUCACCCAAACCAGCAUGCCACGUCUACUGAGAGGCCAGGAGAACGCCCUAAGAACCAUUUCUGUCUCUUUUCCUGCAGGUAGGGGGAAAGUUGGCCUCUGGCAUGAUGUUCCUAAAGCCAGCCCCAGCUGUCUACAACUCCCUCAACCCCCGGACCUCCUGAGGCCACUUUAUUUUGGACUUUUCCCUUCUAUUCCACGUGGAUAUUCACAUCCAUUCCCACAGGGACUACUGGGAAACACUCUGUUGGCAGACCCCAAGUUCUCUGUGACCACGGCC